rnacentral:rRNA from 1 species
GACGAACGCUGGCGGCGUGCUUAACACAUGCAAGUCGAACGGAAAGGCCCUGCUUUUGUGGGGUGCUCGAGUGGCGAACGGGUGAGUAACACGUGAGUAACCUGCCCUUGACUUUGGGAUAACUUCAGGAAACUGGGGCUAAUACCGGAUAGGAGCUCCUGCUGCAUGGUGGGGGUUGGAAAGUUUCGGCGGUUGGGGAUGGACUCGCGGCUUAUCAGCUUGUUGGUGGGGUAGUGGCUUACCAAGGCUUUGACGGGUAGCCGGCCUGAGAGGGUGACCGGCCAAAUUGGGACUGGGAUACGGCCCAGACUCCUACGGGAGGCAGCAGUGGGGAAUAUUGCACAAUGGGCGGAAGCCUGAGGCAGCAACGCCGCGUGCGGGAUGACGGCCUUCGGGUUGUAAACCGCUUUCGCCUGUGACGAAGCGUGAGUGACGGUAAUGGGUAAAGAAGCACCGGCUAACUACGUG